rnacentral:hammerhead_ribozyme from 1 species
AUGCUUCUGACGAGUCCCAAAUAGGACGAAAUGCAAAUCCUGGAU